rnacentral:misc_RNA from 1 species
CGGCAACAGAGUAUUCAACUUCAGAUGCUAAAUUGAUGCCAUUUAAAAAAUAUGAGAUUUCAACUUUCAAGGCUUCAAAGUUCAAACUGCCGGCUCUUUCAUCGGAUUACCAAGAAUCUUGUGCCAUUAUAGCAGCUUUUUUUGCUGCUUCUUUUCUUUUCUUUUCCCAAAUGCCAAAUGGAUUGAGACAAUAUAUAUUUUACCGGGAAAAGAAACAGAUUUAUAGCUAGAUACUCUAGUAUUCUAGUAUAUAUUCUCACUUUCGUUUAGCAGUUAGCAGGAGGGAGGUGAAUGGAAACCAUGAAGAUCCAGUUCUUUAUCUCUCUGUUACUCUUCUUGGCUUUUUCUCUCAACAGGUUCUUCCCUUUUUCUGUCUUUGAUUUUUUCUCCCUUGAUACUAGCAUUAUUUUUAGUUAAUUCUGGGUGUUGAAGAUGCAAGUAGUUGCUAGUUGGAUGGCCUGAUUUUGUUUAGUAUGCUAUAAUUCAUUUUAGUUUUUUCCUCUUCAAUGGCUAUGCUGAAAUUUGUGAGAAACCAAGAACCUGAAAUAAUUUCUUGGGGCUAGUAUGUUUAGGGCUGCAGCUUGUUGCUAGAUAAUUUGUUGUUUCUUUUUUCUCCUUUUUUGUUUUUUUCUGGAAAUUUUUUGUAAGAUUAUUAUUUUCCAAUUUUUUCCACAAUUGGCUCGCAGUCCAAAGAUAGCAACUAGGUUGUUGAACUUUGGUUACACUAAUUUCACUAGCUCUUUUUAUGAUCAAAGCAUCUAUCUUAUCCUUUUUUUCCAAUCCCAAUUCUUGCAAGACAUUAGAAACUAGGAAGCAUGAAAUGGGUUAUGUUGAAUUGAUUAAUACUUCAUUCUGUCAAUGUCAAUGCAUAUACAAAUGGGAUUCAUUUCAGGGUGUCAUCUGAAAUGGAGCGUGCAAGCUUCCCACCCAGAGGUUGGAAUUCUUAUGAUUCUUUUUGCUGGACUAUUUCUGAAGAAGAAUUCUUGCAAAAUGCUGAAAUAAUUUCUCAGCGUCUUAAAGCUUAUGGGUUUGAGUAUGUUGUGGUGGACUACCUUUGGUAUAGGAGGAAGGUGCCAGGUGCUUAUGUAGAUUCACUUGGGUUUGAUGUAAUUGAUCAAUGGGGAAGGAUGAUUCCUGAUCCUGAUCGGUGGCCUUCUUCUAAAGGUGGAAAAGGAUUUACUGAAGUAGCAAAGAAAGUACACAGCAUGGGCUUGAAGUUUGGGAUUCAUGUUAUGAGAGGAAUAAGUACACAAGCAUACAAUGCGAAUACCCCUAUCCUGGAUACUAUCAAGGGAGGUGCUUAUGAAGAUUCUGGACGACAAUGGCGGGCCCAAGACAUAGGGAUCAAGGAGAAAGCUUGUGCAUGGAUGCAACAUGGAUUCAUGAGUGUAAAUACUAAGUUGGAAGCAGGAAGAGCUUUCUUGAGGUCACUUUAUGAACAGUAUGCUGAGUGGGGUGUAGAUUUUGUAAAGCAUGAUUGUGUAUUUGGUGAUGACUUGGAUUUAGAAGAGAUAACAUUUGUGUCAGAGGUUCUGAAAAAGCUUGAUCACCCCAUUCUAUAUUCUUUGUCUCCUGGAACCAGUGUGACACCAACCAUGGCUAAAGAUGUAAGUGGGUUAGUCAACAUGUACAGGAUAACAGGGGAUGAUUGGGAUACAUGGGGAGAUGUAGCAGCCCAUUUUGAUGUUUCAAGGGACUUCUCUACUGCUACUAUGAUUGGUGCCAAGGGUUUAUUGGGGAAGUCGUGGCCUGACUUAGAUAUGCUACCAUUGGGAUGGCUUACUGACCCUGGUUCUAACCAAGGUCCUCAUAGAACAUGUAAGCUUAGUAUAGAUGAGCAGAAAACUCAGAUGACUUUGUGGGCAAUGGCCAAGUCUCCUCUUAUGUUUGGGGGAGAUGUUAGAAAACUUGAUGACAUCACCUACAAUUUGAUCACUAAUCCUACUAUUCUUGAAAUAAAUUAUUUUAGCUCUAACAAUAGGGAGUUUCCUUAUGUCAGUAGCAGAAAAUAUUAUAAUACAAAGCCUCUCCCACAACGAUCAACCAGAUUACUGAAGGAAGUGAGUACAUCACAUGGACAUGUUUUAGGUCUUAGUAGCUGCAAAGAUCCCAAUGUAAAUUGUUGGUCAACUGAAGCUCUUGACGGAGAUAUGGAACAGAUCUGCUGGGUGGAGAAGUUGGGAAGCCAUGGACCUUUAUGCCUAUACAAGAGAAAGCCUCUUCUAAAUUGGGAUGAAGGGAUUAUUUAUGGACAAAAUAAACACCAUUUAUUUGCGAGUGAUGGACUUGAGUUUUGCUUGGGUGCUUCUGCAAGACAGAAGCUUACUUCAGAAGAAUUGAAAAGCUGUUCAUUCUCACCUUGUAGAUGGGAUGCCAACCAGAUAUGGGAGUUGAAAAAUAAUGGAGCCCUCAUCAGCAAUUACUCUGGUCUCUGCGCUAAAGUCAAUUCAGUUAAAGGUAAUACACUUGGAAUUGGAGCUGAUUUUCUGCAUGUACAAUGGGCAUCACCGUAGACAUUUCUAAAUGCAGCUAAAACCAUUUCCACUGGAGUUCGGUCUUGGGUUGCAGCUGGAAGAAAAGGUCUGAUUCCUUCAAAAUUCUUGAUAAAAUUUGGCUUCAAAUAUCUUAUUAUUACUGGGCUGUAAAUUAAUUUAAAAGAUCUUGCACCAUGGUGGAAGGAGGCUAAAAGUACCAUUUUAAUAAUGUUAUACUAGAAAAGAUGGCAUGUCUCUUCUAUUUGUUCUUUCUUGAAAUUAUGGUAACUUAUUGCACUCAUUCACUCCUUAUUUAUUUGUUUAUUUACUUUUUUUUGGGGGGGCGGGCGGCAUAGAUGUUAAUUUAAUGUUUUUGACUGCCUAAAGAGAGAGCACUCUUUCCCAUGUUUACUGCGAACAUCUCUUCAUGCUUGCAACUUUGGUGGCUUCCCACCAUACUUAAGAUUGAUAAAUUAGGCAUAUAUCCACAUCAUUUAUCUAAAAUCUUUAUCAUUUUUUUUAGUUCUCAACAUAACAAUAAUUUGUUUCACCUGACUGUUCACGCAGGAGAGAUAUAUGUUGCGUUUUUCAAUCUGAACCCAGAGAAGACGGUAAUAUCUGCAAAGAUUUUGGACAUGUAUAAGGUAUUUCCUGUGAAAAACUGGAAUCAAACUUCAUGUAAAUGCAGAGAAGCUUGGAGUGGUAAAGAUUUUGGAGUGAUAAAAGAUUCAAUAUCAAUUGCAGUAGAGAUACAUGGUUCUGCACUCUUUGUCCUAAAAUGUGACUAGUAUAGAUUGAUUGGAUGCAGAUGAAAUAUUUUUGUGUUUCCAAUCCACUCCACCCCAUAUUCAAAUUCACAGAAAUGUGGGAUCUGUUUAUUAAAUGUAAUGAGGGCCUAUACCAAUUAAGUUUUGUAUCAUUAACUAUUCUGUCACACAUUCUUUUAUUUUUCCGUUUUGUUUAGAGAUAUCUUCUUCUACUCUUGAGAGUUAUUUCAAGGGUUAGUGGAGUACUGGCAGAACCCAGGGUCGAUAGUCAGGUAAUCUCAAAACUCAAAGAGGUGGUUUGAGGGAUAUCUAGUUGUUAUGCUUAUUAUUACUGAAUGCAUCCUUAACACAUAGACCAGAGGAAUGAUGAGCUUGUACUGAGGUUCUCAAGUAUCUUAUAUUUUGAUCUUGAAAGUCCUAAGAAGCUUUACUGCAUAAGAACUAGCUCGCUUACUUGUAAAGACAAAACAGUGAGAAUCACUAAUGGAAUUCACUGAACAUCCCACAAAUAAGAUUUCCUAUAGGUUGAGUGCUACUGUUCAUGUCAUCAUGCAUGAUGACUGCUGCCAUUUUCAAUUGAAAUUUUGAAAAAUCAUGACAACUGUUUAAUUGUUUGCCUUUUGAAUGUUAUCCCAAAUGUUUGUUAAUACCAAGAAGAAAGAUUGUUUGAUCUUUCUUUAUCAUCUUUGCCAAUAACAGAGGUUGGUGUGGGAGUGGAGAAGGAUAUGGGAUUACGUCAGUCAUCAUAACACAGAUCUCUGUUCUGCCUUUUUUAACUUUUAUUAAUUGAUAUAAAUUAUUCUAAGAUCCCAAAGAGUUGGUUUGGUUCUCAAAUUGUGCUUUUCCCAUCUCAUUGUCCAUAAUUAGUUUUUUUUCAGAAUUUAGUUAGUUCCUUUCACUUUCAUGUAAAAGUAAAACCUCUUCUAUUCUUCAUUAGACUCAUUCAUUGAUUCAUGAGUUUGAAGACUAUUUUGAUCAUCUAAACAAAUCAAGUUUAUAUAAGAAAUUUUAUUUUUGGAUCAAUUUGAUAAAGUUUUAUUAAAC